GAUGAACGCUGGCGGCGUGCUUAACACAUGCAAGUCGAACGGGAAACCUUUUAUUGAAGCUUCGGCAGAUUUAGCUGGUUUCUAGUGGCGGACGGGUGAGUAACGCGUGGGUAACCUGCCCUAUACAGGGGGAUAACAACCAGAAAUGGUUGCUAAUACCGCAUAAGCGCACAGGGCCGCAUGGUCCGGUGUGAAAAACUCCGGUGGUAUAGGAUGGACCCGGGUUGGAUUAGCCAGUUGGCAGGGUAACGGCCUACCAAAGCGACGAUCCAUAGCCGGCCUGAGAGGGUGAACGGCCACAUUGGGACUGAGACACGGCCCAGACUCCUACGGGAGGCAGCAGUGGGGAAUAUUGCACAAUGGGGGAAACCCUGAUGCAGCGACGCCGCGUGAAGGAAGAAGUAUCUCGGUAUGUAAACUUCUAUCAGCAGGGAAGAUAGUGACGGUACCUGACUAAGAAGCCCCGGCUAACUACGUG
rnacentral:rRNA from 1 species